ensembl:snRNA U6 U6 spliceosomal RNA
GCUUCUGCAGCACAUACUAAAACUGAAAUGAUACAGAAAAGAUUAGCAUGACCCCUACACAAGGAUGACACAUGACUUUGUGAUAGAUUCUAUAUUUUU